rnacentral:rRNA from 1 species
GACGAACGCUGGCGGCGUGCUUAACACAUGCAAGUCGAACGGAAAGGCCCUGCUUUUGUGGGGUGCUCGAGUGGCGAACGGGUGAGUAACACGUGAGUAACCUGCCCUUGACUUUGGGAUAACUUCAGGAAACUGGGGCUAAUACCGGAUAGGAGCUCCGGCUGCAUGGUGGGGGUUGGAAAGUUUGGGCGGUUGGGGAUGGACUCGCGGCUUAUCAGCUUGUUGGUGGGGUAGUGGCUUACCAAGGCUUUGACGGGUAGCCGGCCUGAGAGGGUGACCGGCCACAUUGGGACUGAGAUACGGCCCAGACUCCUACGGGAGGCAGCAGUGGGGAAUAUUGCACAAUGGGCGGAAGCCUGAUGCAGCAACGCCGCGUGCGGGAUGACGGCCUUCGGGUUGUAAACCGCUUUCGCCUGUGACGAAGCGUGAGUGACGGUAAUGGGUAAAGAAGCACCGGCUAACUACGUG